ensembl:lncRNA
CUCCGAGGGAAGCGCUCGGGGCAGGGUAGGGAAAUCCUGCCUGGGGCUUCACGGUGGUAAAGCGGCAAAGGCUGGAUCUAAAGUCGGACAGUAAAGCCCCAAAGCCAGUGAUCUUCACGUAAUCGCCAAGGAGGCAAAGGUAGGACCGUCGCUCCAGCCACCAAGUCGAGCAGCACGAGGCUUAACCGCGAGGGUGCAGAGUCCGGAAACCUCACUGCCGUCCCGGCUCCGAGCUGCCUUUAAAACACCGCCACCUACAGUACCCGGGAUCGAACUCAGGACCUUGAGCUUGCGAGGCAGGCGCAGUGCCACUGAGCUACAUCCCCGGCCCGUGUCGUUCCAUUUAUUGCCAGGAGCACGGAACUGGACUGAAGUACAAGAUUCCUCGUCUAGAGGAGGAGACACAUUUCACACAGAAAUCACUGAGGCCGUCUCCAAAGAACCCCGGAGGGGAGAAGACACUUCUGCCCAGCGGCGUCCCACUGGCCUACAGAAAGAAAUGUGGGCAUGGCAGAAGAAGUGGAAGAAAUGAAAAUUCACGAAGAAGAAAAUAAAACUCAGUCAUAAGACCGCCAGCCAGAGGAGCACCACUAGUACAUUGAGGGGCAGAUGAUCCUUGGCUUUCUCAAAUACGACUUUGAGCAAAUCACACAUUAUAUGUCAAAAUCCC